rnacentral:rRNA from 1 species
GUGGGGAAUUUUGGACAAUGGGCGAAAGCCUGAUCCAGCAAUGCCGCGUGCAGGAUGAAGGCCCUCGGGUUGUAAACUGCUUUUGUACGAAACGAAAAGCCUGGGGCUAAUAUCCCCGGGUCAUGACGGUACCGUAAGAAUAAGCACCGGCUAACUACGUGCCAGCAGCCGCGGUAAUACGUAGGGUGCAAGCGUUAAUCGGAAUUACUGGGCGUAAAGCGUGCGCAGGCGGUUUUGUAAGACAGUGGUGAAAUCCCCGGGCUCAACCUGGGAACUGCCAUUGUGACUGCAAGGCUAGAGUGCGGCAGAGGGGGAUGGAAUUCCGCGUGUAGCAGUGAAAUGCGUAGAUAUGCGGAGGAACACCGAUGGCGAAGGCAAUCCCCUGGGCCUGCACUGACGCUCAUGCACGAAAGCGUGGGGAGCAAACAGGAUUAGAAACCCCAGUAGUCC